GUUGUUCUUGAAAACUAUAGUAGUGGAUGUCUUGGAACAUUUCUAACAGAGGAAAAGUACAGAGGAAAAAUCACAAGAAGUUCUGAUCAGAUGAAGCUGAAUAUGUUCUUCAGAGGUGACUGUACAGCCUGAGACAGCUGAGUGAAAAGAAUGACUGCCACAAAACAUCAUGAAUUAUAUUGGAGGUGGAAGGAGCAGAUGGUCCCAUGUAUGGAGCUGGCAGUUGGAUCUCUGGUCCUCCUCUGAUGGAUGCGAACCACAGCAAAAAGAUGGAACAAGUUGUUCACCUGCCAGAGGAACUGAGGGAGCUGACCUGGUUUCCCUCAGACUCAGCUGUAACUGUGAAGGAGAGAGAGGCACCGAGAGUAUGAGUUCGGUUGGCUGAGCCUUCACAAGCACUUAAUUCAUGUGAUGCAAACUUCACUACCUUCCAG
rnacentral:lncRNA from 1 species